CUUGCGAGAGUUUUCCUUGAGGAGCAGAAGAUGGAAGCUCUUCGGGUGGUGAUUGAAGAGGAGAAAGAUGAGGUAGUGCACGACCCUUAACAGAUUGAAAGGAGGAUUCUUUUAGAGCUUGGGCUUGCAUCAUGAUUGGAGAGUUACAUGAAAUGAACGAAAGACCAGACGACUUGAUUGUCAGCUUGAUGAUAUUUUUUUUAUAAUAUACAUUCCUUGAAGAUUAUAUAUUAUAAAUGAUUUGUAACUUUAUAAGAUGAAUUUUGGGGUGAUGGUUUACUCACAGUGCAAUUUACUAGCUUGACAAAGUCUAUUACACGUUGGUUUGGCACAUGUAAUAUAUUACACUAUCUGGAUGUAUUUUAUUGAGCUACAUGAUGUCUGACUAAGACAGUAAUCCCACAUAUUAUUAUUACAUGUUGUAAGA